AUUGAACGCUGGCGGCAGGCCUAACACAUGCAAGUCGAACGAGUGGCGGACGGGUGAGUAAUGUCUGGGAAACUGCCCGAUGGAGGGGGAUAACUACUGGAAACGGUAGCUAAUACCGCAUACCAUCGGCUUUGCCCAGAGGGGAUUAGCUAGUGGGUGGGGUAACGGCUCACCUAGGCGACGAUCCCUAGCUGGUCGGAGAGGAUGACCAGCCACACGGUAACUGAGACACGGUCCAGAUGCCGACGGGAGGCAGAAGUGGGGAAUAUUGAACAAUGGGCGCAAGCCUGAUGCAGCCAUGCCGCGUGUAUGAAGAAGGCCUUCGGGUUGUAAAGUACUUUCAGCGAGGAGGCGUUACUCGCAGAAGAAGCACCGGCUAACUCCGUGCCAGCAGCCGCGGUAAUAC
rnacentral:rRNA from 1 species